ACUAGGAUUUCCUCCGCCUCUAAAGAAGGUGUUCCACCCCGGGCCAAGAAAAAAAAAUUAAAAAAUCCGCUUUAUUAAAAAAGGGUUUCUCCCCUGGCCCCCCAUAAAAUUUCCUUCUUUUUUCUUCCCCUCUCAAAUCUAUUGCCCCUCCCCCCACACAAACUUUUUAC
rnacentral:rRNA from 1 species